AGUGUAAACCGGCAAUGGUGAUAUGGUCCUGCAUGUGGAUUCACUGUGACUUUGCGAUGAUGAUGGGGUUGCGCGAUUGAAGAUGGUGGAGCAGCUUUCAUGAUUGGAAAGGAAACCAAAUAACAAUAGUGAGAAAAUAUCACAUGAGAUAUUUUAUGUUUUGGAGUUUUUAUGGGAAUGAUGGCUUUCUAUGCUUCAACAAAAAAUUUGAGUUUGCAUCUAAGCUAAGAUGUAGAACAUACCCACUUGAUGAUUGGGAUUUGGUGAUUUGCAACAUAACUAUAAUGCAGAAUUAUGUAUUCAUUGCCAUAUGCUACAACUCUCUCACCCUCUAAUCUGCUAUAGAAUCAAUAGGAAUCGGCAGCAAAACCUGAGAAAAAUCCUCAAGAAGUUGAAAGCUAAGAGAAGCCAGAAGAAGAAAAGCAGUCAAGUAACGGUGGAUAUAGGAUAAGUGCCAUGACUAAUUAUAAUAUUGUUGCCUCCGCUACUUCUUAUCUGCACGCUCAGAUAAAGAGCAUACUUCCGUUCAAAUAUUCA